UCGACACACCUGGCGGCACACCGUGGAGCUGCAGCGGACACAUGCUGAUGCCACAAACCUCCAACCAACACCAGACCUUUCUAACCCAGAGGACCUACUCUUUUCACGACAUUUAUUCACUUUGCACGGGGACACUUUCCCAUCGCUGAGCUGAUACCAUGCGGCAGCGUCUGAGCUGACCGAGCUCUGAGCCUGGCGUGGCCGCAGGGGGGCGCCCAACAGACCGCGUGGUGGUUCACGAACCCGCUGGUGGAAGACGUCGGGAAGUUCGGCUGAAGACCGUGAGUACUCCACGACCUCCCUAGUCAGCUAGUCUGCCUACACACAGACUGAACGCUGUCGCCGUCUCCCAGGGUGAGCGACGCCAGGGACAAGCUGGAGACUGAAAAGACACGUUGGCGUGAACCUGGAUGUGAGACAACGAGAUGUGGCACAGCACGACACGGUUACACCAACACCACGAAUGAGCACAUCACCGGACCGUCCACUGUGCUCGGCCUCCAGCUGCAUCUUCUUCUGCUGACUGUCCUUCUCCCUCCUCAUCCUCUUCUCCAGCAGCGCCGCCCUCUUCUGAGCCAUGUUCUCCUCGGCCUUCCCAUCCUCCUGAGCCGUGGGGGAAACAGAGCUGGUCAACUUCCACUGCUUCAGCUGGGCCUGAAUUAUUCACAACAGCCCCAGUUUUCUGACCUACAUCGAAGCUCAGACUGCGGCGAGCGAACCGUCCAACAACCAACAUAAAUGAGGAAGAUUACACUGUCUCCAAUCGGCAAGUUUUCCGGAACCAAUCUUCAUCUCGUGUCAGGAACAUGUUCGGUUGCUGAUUAAAAACAAACAUGGCUGCCCUGAG